rnacentral:rRNA from 1 species
GAUGAACGCUGGCGGCGUGCCUAAUACAUGCAAGUCGAGCGAAUGGAUUAAGAGCUUGCUCUUAUGAAGUUAGCGGCGGACGGGUGAGUAACACGUGGGUAACCUGCCCAUAAGACUGGGAUAACUCCGGGAAACCGGGGCUAAUACCGGAUAACAUUUUGAACCGCAUGGUUCGAAAUUGAAAGGCGGCUUCGGCUGUCACUUAUGGAUGGACCCGCGUCGCAUUAGCUAGUUGGUGAGGUAACGGCUCACCAAGGCAACGAUGCGUAGCCGACCUGAGAGGGUGACCGGCCAACCUGGGACUGAAACACGGGCCAGACUCCUACGGGGGGCAGCAGUAGGGAAUCUUCCGCAAUGGACGAAAGUCUGACGGAGCAACGCCGCGUGAGUGAUGAAGGCUUUCGGGUCGUAAAACUCUGUUGUUAGGGAAGAACAAGUGCUAGUUGAAUAAGCUGGCACCUUGACGGUACCUAACCAGAAAGCCACGGCUAACUACGUGCCAGCAGCCGCGGUAA